AGAGUUUGAUCCUGGCUCAGGAUGAACGCUAGCGGCAGGCCUAAUACAUGCAAGUCGUACGGGAACCCCUCCCUCGGGAGGGGUGAGAGUGGCGGACGGGUGCGUUACGCGUAUGCAACCAACCCCCGACGGGCGUACAGCCGGUGGAAACGCCGGGUGAUGCGCCAUGCGGCCGGGAGAGGGCAUCCUCUUUCGGCGAAAGCCCUUGGGCGGUCGGGGACGGGCAUGCGUGCCAUUAGCUUGUUGGCGGGGCGACGGCCCACCAAGGCUACGAUGGCUAGGGGUUCUGAGAGGAAGGUCCCCCACAUUGGAACUGAGACACGGUCCAAACUCCUACGGGAGGCAGCAGUGAGGAAUAUUGGUCAAUGGACGGAAGUCUGAACCAGCCAAGUAGCGUGCAGGAAGACGGCCCUAUGGGUUGUAAACUGCUUUUAUGCGGGGAUAAACUGGCCUACGCGUAGGCCGUUGCAGGUACCGCAUGAAUAAGGACCGGCUAAUUCCGUGCC
rnacentral:rRNA from 1 species